rnacentral:rRNA from 1 species
GAUGAACGCUGGCGGCGGGCCUAACACAUGCAAGUCGAGCGAACACUCCAGGAGCUUGCGCCUCUGACGUUAUCGGCGGACGGGUCAUUAACUCGUCGACAACCUACCUAUGAGACUGGGAUAACUUCGGCAAACCGGCGCUAAUACCGGAUAAUAUAUUGAACCGCAAUGUUCAAUAGUUAAAGACGGUUUUUCUUUCACUUAUAGAUGGACCCGCGCCGCAUCAGCUAGUGGGUAAGGUAACGGCUUAGCAAGGCAACGAUGCGUACCCGACCUGAGAGGGUGAUCGGACAGACUGGAACGGAGACAGGGUCCAGACUCCGACGCGGAGCAGCAGUAGGGAAUCUUACGCGAGGCACGAGAGGCUGACGGAGCAACGCCGCGUGAGUGCUGAAGGACUUCGGAUCGGAAAACUCUGUUAUUAGGGGAGAACAAAUGUGUAAGUAACUAGGAACGUCUUGACGGUACCUACACAGAAAGCCACGGCUAACUCCGUG